AUUGAACGCUGGCGGCAGGCCUAACACAUGCAAGUCGAGCGAGCGGCGGAGGGGUGUGUAUAGUGUGGGAAACACCCUGUUGGAGGGGGAUAACUACUGGAAACGGUGGCUAAUACCCCAUACCCCCAGAUGUGCCCAGAUGGGAUUAGCUAGUAGGUGGGGUAACGGCUCACCUAGGCGACGAUCCCUAGCUGGUCUGAGAGGAUGACCAGCCACACUGGAACUGAGACACGGUCCAGACUCCUACGGGAGGCAGCAGUGGGGAAUAUUGCACAAUGGGCGCAAGCCUGAUGCAGCCAUGCCGCGUGUGUGAAGAAGGCCUUCGGGUUGUAAAGCACUUUCAGCGGGGAGGCGUUACCCGCAGAAGAAGCACCGGCUAACUCCGUGCCAGCAGCCGCGGUAAUUC
rnacentral:rRNA from 1 species